UGCCCAAACCCGGAAUCGAACCAGGGACCUUUAGAUCUUCAGUCUAAUGUAGCUCUAAAUAGCGGUAUGGUAGAUUGAACUGUCAACAC